rnacentral:rRNA from 1 species
AAACCUCUUUUCUGGGGGACGAAAGCUGACGGUACCCCAGGAAUAAGCCUCGGCUAACUCCGUGCCAGCAGCCGCGGUAAGACGGAGGAGGCAAGCGUUAUCCGGAAUUAUUGGGCGUAAAGGGUACGUAGGCGGCUGGUCAAGUCUGGGGUCAAAGGCCACAGCUCAACUGUGGGAAGGCCCUGGAAACUGACCGGCUAGAGUGAGGUAGGGGUUGCGGGAAUUCCCGGUGUAGCGGUGAAAUGCGUAGAGAUCGGGAAGAACACCUGAGGCGGAAGCGCGCAACUGGNCCUUUACUGACACUGAGGGACGAAAGCUAGGGGAGCGAAUGGGAUU